CCUACGGGACGCAGCAGUUAGGAAUAUUCGUCAAUGGGGGGAACCCUGAACGAGCAAUGCCGCGUGAGUGAUGAAGGCCCUAUGGGUUGUAGAACUCUGUUGUUGAGAAAGAAUGGUAAGAUUAGGAAAUGAUUCUUACUUGACGGUACUCUUCAAGAAAGCCACGGCUAACUACGUGCCAGCAGCCGCGGUAAUACGUAGGUGGCGAGCGUUAUCCGGAUUUAUUGGGUUUAAAGGGUGCGUAGGCGGUUUUUUAAGCUAGUGGUUAAACGUCGGGGCUUCACCUUGAUUUGCCAUUAAUACUG
rnacentral:rRNA from 1 species